rnacentral:snRNA from 1 species
CAAAGGGAUCGCAUUGAUC